AACUUCCUGGCCUUAGGCUUUCAUCUGCUACUAUGUUGGGCACGAACCGAGCCAACUCUAUGAAUUUUUUUGCAUAUUUUACUACUGUCAUAAAAUGUUGCUCUAACUGCUUCCCAAAGGAUCGGUGUCCUCAAAUAUCCCUUUUUCAAGCGCUACCAUUGUUCUGUAGGUCCCUUGAACAUAAAUGUGGCAAUUAUACCU
rnacentral:lncRNA from 1 species